ensembl:lncRNA
AGUUACUUAAUAUUAACUUCUUGUUUAUUCAAAUGCAGUGUAAAAUCACCAUUACAUUUGCAGUCGUGUUGAUAUUUGAGGAAAAACCAGCACGCUUCGUGUGAUAUUGCUAAACUAUAUGGUAUAUAAAAGAAAAAAUCAUACAGGGGAGAGGAAUUUUACCCCGAUAUCUUGCUAUCAUGCAGCAAAACGUGUAGUCUAAAUGCGCAUACAGUAGUCAAACCUAUCACAGUGUGUGUGGCCUUUUUUUGCAAAGUGAUGGACAUACUCCAUUAUGUUAGAUUGCACAUCGUUAAAAUUAAGCCCUAUUUGUUGAUACUAUUUUCAUAGAGUUGAAAAUUAGGAUUAAUAUUAUUUGUGAGCACCCUCACAAUUUUCAGAAGCACUCUCAGUGAUUUCGUUCUGAAACCGGGCCUGAGCUGAGAUGUUCCAAACUGCUCGCCACACUUCAUUCACGAGAGAGGCGGGAGGAAUAAUGAGGUUUGACUGACAGUUUGAGGAGCCAGUGAUGUUAUGAGGUUUAGUGGCGGUGGCGUCCCUUUUACUGGUCCAGGAUCAGUGAUCCUUAGCAGUUAAUAUUUCCGAUUUGAGCUUGAGUUUCAGAAAUGCUUUGGAUAAUGUAACGUUAGCUUUUGCUACCGCGCUACUUGAUCAAAAAAGAGCUUAGCUACUGAAAAGCUAUUUGAUUAAGAAAACAGCGAUGCUACCACCACGCUACUGAUAAAUGUAGUUAAACUACUAGCUUCACUACUUGUAGCGCACUACUGCCCAUCACUGCAUAUAUGUAUAAGAACUAAAGCAACACUGAUCAUGUAAAACAGUCAGUUCUCUUGAUUCUUGAAAAGUGUCAUGAGUUUGUUUCAGCUUGAUCUCAGCAGUGAAUGGUGUUGAUGUGGUUCAGAGAGAAAGCAGCUGAUUCUGUGCUGAUGUUUUAUUUCAGGACCAACUACUGCAGCUGUGACCUCUAGUUUGACCUCUGCAUCGACACAGACAUCAGAAUGUGUGUCUGUGGUGUUUGUUCUGGUCUGGUGUCUCCAGAUGAUGGUUCUGUUCGGUCUGUUAGGAGCUUUUCACAUCUACAUGAGACACACGUCAGGUGAGAGACAUUUAUCAUCAUUAUUAUGGAUUUGACAUGCAAAUAUUAAGAGUGUGAAGACAAAGUGCCAUAUGAAUCGAGAUAAACAGUGUUCUUUAAGGAUUUUAAAUGAAA